GUCCCUGUAAUGCAAUGAAUAGCAUUUUGGACUUCUAAUCCAUAGGUCGGGUUCGAAUCCCAUUAGAGAUG